GAAACCCGUGCAAGCACAUACGCACACCACCGGUUCCUCAUCCUCCUCACGAUCGCCCCAAUCCCGCCUGCAAGCCAUGGCGGCCGCCCCCAGAUGCCUUGUCGAUCCUAAUCCACACGCUACCGCGCCUCCCUUGCGAAGACGCCUCGCCAUGGAUCUCAAUCGGCGCCACGACGGCCAUGGCCUCCCCACCCGCCGACGUUCCAGAUCCGGCCAUCGUUGACCCCCUCCACAUCAGUGAUCGGUCAAGGUAGGGAGUGUGGCUCUAUCCAUCUUCCUGCGCGUACUGCGUCCGUGUAUCCCGGGCAAGGGUGCUUGUGAGACCGGGAGGCGAUCAAAAGGAGGAAGAGGAGAUCCAUGGUUGGGGAUACAUUCAACGACCUAGGCAUCAUCCUCCCUGACGUCGUACUCGAAGCCCGUAGCCAUUGCCUCCUCAAUCUACGUUGGUCAGCAGCAGCAAGGUCAGCCCCCACUAUAUAUUUUCUUCGGAUCUUGCAUCGCCAUGGUGACUCCACAAAAUUUGUACAUCCAUUGCCGAUGUUGGUAUUUAUUCAGCAGAGAAUUAACAACACUAGACCAAAGCAAAGGGGGGUCAGCCUGAAUGGGACGUAUCACCUUCCAGAGGACUCACCCUAGCUAGCCUGCACGGUACCUUUCAUUAGCACUUCUCCUAGUAAGUUUGCAAAUUUUGGAUCCACCACUUUUGGAUCAUGCUUGGUGUGUGCUGACGGUGCGCGAGGAACGUGAUGGUUUUUCUCUGAAUCAUGCAUAGUUCUCUCAAUAUUGUACGUGUUGUUCUCUCGUGUUGUUCUCUGCAUGAUGUGUGUUCUCGUGUUGUUCUCUGCAUGAUGUGUGGUUGAUGGCCUGAUGGGGAUGCGGAGGCGACGACUAGCGGUUGUUCUAUUUACACCUGACAUGGUUGAGAGGCUAGGGAGCAGGCGAUUUUGCACUCAUAUUUGGUCGGCGAGGGAGAUGAAUUUGGGAGAGACGUGGCUGGGAGUUGCACCAGUCAUUUUUCCGCCCUCUCUAUGUUAUCCCUUUGCACUAAUCGGUAAUUGCUUUUCGACCAGGGGAUAGGGUAGCGUACACGAACAACAAAAUUGUAGAAGGUGAGGAGGACAGUUUGAAUCACAACAUUAUGUGGAGUAUUGAGAUGCAGAUCCACCUUCACCGACAUCACGCGCUCGUCUGUGACCUCCCACCAGCAGCGCCUUGAGGCCACCCACACAGGCGACCAAGCAAUUCCAUGCUGUCACCCUGCUACUUCGCCAACGACAUCGAGGAGGUCGUGGGUGAGAGCUACUGUCCUCCUUGGAGAACAUGCUGGUGCCCCAUGCGUACGAAGAAGAGCUAAGACACUCGCAUGGGUGCUCAAGGAAAUACACCAUAUUGAGCGAGCUUUAAUGUGACAGAGGAUCGUGGUGGUCGAUGGAUUCUGCACCUGGUAGUAGACUAAGAAAGGAACAUUAUGUAUGGAACACAAUGAUAUUCACAGCACCCCUGCACUAUGUGAGAUUUAGAAGUUGGUACCGCCGGCGGAUGCAUCCAUGUGCUAAUCUGCUGGCACCGAGUAGGCGGAGCCAAACGAGUGGGGGCCUCCAGCCGGCUGGUAGUGGACAACAACACCGGGUUUGUUAAUUACUCAACAAGUCACAGAUUGAUCUAUUUUUUAUUAGUUUGGAGUGGAUUAUCAGGCCUGCCGCGCAAUCAUAGAUUUACCUUUUGAUUUAUGUGGGUGGACAAAAACACCCUUUCUGAAGUUUUCUAGGGAUUGUAAUGAAGCACAACUUGCUCAGUGAUACCAAUCCCUUCGAGCUCCCUCAACCCUUCGCCAACACUUCUUCAGUUUCUCAACACAAGUGAGUUCUCUCUGCACCAGCAUUAUUGUUAAUCAAUGUACGAGCCGGUAAUCAGAGUUUAGAUACAUGCUACUAAUGCUAGCACACUCCCCACGUGGACAGAGUGGCGGCCGAAUGAUAUAGUUAAACAAUUAACUGAUUUGGUAGAAGUGACGAACCUUAUUACGGACAAAGAGAGAUGCAUAAUUUUCCUAAUUUGUUUAUUAUUGGUCGUUCCAUGCAUCGUUCGGGGUAAAAAAUGACUAGAACAUGAGUUUUUCCCUGUAUACUUAUCCAUGCCUGAUGGCACUACACCGCAUUAGCAUACUUUAAGUUUGUCCUUGUAUUAUCUCUUAUUCAGGGUAGAAAUGCCCGGAACAAACAAAUGACGAAUUGUAGUGUAGUCAUUCUUGCAGUUAAAGAUUAUGUUUAAAAUUGUUCAUCACUUGGGAUGCUGCCAACUUGCAGGGUGGAUGAGACAUUAAAUUGCCAUAUUGCUUUCCCCUCUUAUUCACUGUUGUAAGCUUGGUUCUUGAGGAACUUCUCAUUGUUGUACAUGUAGGUUGUGGAAAAUAGAAAUAAAAUCUAUUUGUUCAUUCUUCUACUGUA